rnacentral:lncRNA from 1 species
GAAGAUGCUGUGAGGCAGGUAACGAAGCGCGUUUUCUGGGGGAUCUUUAGCUUUGGGCUGAUUGAAUCCAGGCACAAUUCACUUUGGAUCAGUAGAGAUUUGAACUGAAUAGGAGAUAGAACAUAGGAUCAUCAGCCUUUCUCUUUGAGCUGGGUGCAGUUGACUUAUGUGGGCAAUUCAAACUCACGUGCCAUCAUGGAAACACCAGGACUCAGCAAAGUAAAGGAGCAGAAACAUCUGUUAAGCCAUGACUGCACCUGCCUACGUGAUGCUGAGAUGGGAUCCUCCAGCCAGCUCAGGCCUUUCCUGGUCUUUUUUUCCUGUUCCGCUGAAUCCUGAUCAACCUGAAUGCUGCCUGUUGGCAUUGGGAUAG